UUCAAGAAAGCUGUGGAA
rnacentral:snRNA from 1 species